AUUGAACGCUGGCGGCAGGCCUAACACAUGCAAGUCGAGCGGAUGAAGGGAGCUUGCUCCUGGAUUCAGCGGCGGAGGGGUGAGUAAUGCCUAUGAAUCUGCCUGGUAGUGGGGGAUAACGUCCGGAAACGGGCGCUAAUACCGCAUACGUCCUGAGGGAGAAAGUGGGGGAUCUUCGGACCUCACGCUAUCAGAUGAGCCUAGGUCGGAUUAGCUAGUUGGUGGGGUAAAGGCCUACCAAGGCGACGAUCCGUAACUGGUCUGAGAGGAUGAUCAGUCACACUGGAACUGAGACACGGUCCAGACUCCUGCGGGAGGCAGCAGUGGGGAAUAUUAGACGAUGGGCGAAAGCCUGAUCCAGCCAUGCCGCGUGUGUGAAGAAGGUCUUCGGAUUGUAGAGCACUUUAAGUUGGGAGGAAGGGAAGUAAGUUAAUACCUUGCUGUUUUGACGUUACCAACAGAAUAAGCACCGGCUAACUUCGUG
rnacentral:rRNA from 1 species